rnacentral:tRNA from 2 species
GGAGUUGUGCCUGAAAUAAAGGAUCACUUUGAUAGAGUGAAUAAUGGGGGAUAGAACCCCCCCAACUCCU